rnacentral:rRNA from 1 species
AUUGAACGCUGGCGGCAUGCUUUACACAUGCAAGUCGAACGGUAACAGGCCGCAAGGUGCUGACGAGUGGCGAACGGGUGAGUAAUGCAUCGGAACGUGCCCAGCCGUGGGGGAUAACUACUCGAAAGAGUAGCUAAUACCGCAUACGAUCUAUGGAUGAAAGCGGGGGACCGUAAGGCCUCGCGCGAUUGGAGCGGCCGAUGUCAGAUUAGGUAGUUGGUGGGGUAAAGGCUCACCAAGCCAACGAUCUGUAGCUGGUCUGAGAGGACGACCAGCCACACUGGGACUGAGACACGGCCCAGACUCCUACGGGAGGCAGCAGUGGGGAAUUUUGGACAAUGGGCGCAAGCCUGAUCCAGCAAUGCCGCGUGCUGGAAGAAGGCCUUCGGGUUGUAAACUGCUUUUGUACGGAACGAAACGGCUCUGGUUAAUACCCGGGGCUAAUGACGGUACCGUAAGAAUAAGCACCGGCUAACUACGUG